rnacentral:lncRNA from 1 species
AUGACACCGCAGCCCCCUCCCCUGCUGCCUUCUGCGAGCUCUGCGCUGCUGCAGCGGCGCAGGAGGAGGAGGAGGUGGCGGCGGCGGCAUCGCCGCCGGGUGCUUAGCGGCUUCUUCCUACAGAUCUCCAAUAGAGUCGACACUGCUACUCUUCCCUGUAUUCAAGUCAAUGCAACAUCUGUCUGUAGCCAGUUUCAGCCUGAUGGCUGCGCCAGGAAAGGAUGGAGGAAGAAUACUGAGAAGAACGUAGGAGCUUUUAGUCUGAAUUACCUUUGGCUGCUCUCACAAUUUGACCACCCGUCUUUCUGUCAAAGACCUCUAAUGUCCAUGUUGAUGGGAAUAACGGCAGUUUGGUAUAUCACCUUACUACUGGGGCGUGCAGUGUUGUACGUAAUGUUAUCUUAUUCCAGAAACCAUGGCACAGUCCUUCAGUUCUGUUCACUGUUUACCUAUAAUUAACUUGAUUACAAAAUACCCUACUGUUUUUUUUUCAAAUAUUCUGUAAAUUCAUUUUUCUCUGAGAGUGAAGACGGGCCUAGUGGUUAAACCUUGUGACUGGAAGUUGCUGAGGGAGAUGUACCUGACACCGGUUUGAAGUGUGAUCUUAGAGAAGCUACUUUACUUGUCCAUGGCUUAGUUGCUCCAUCUGUGAAGUGGGGAAUUAUACUUGUGGGCACCAUACAUUCAUUACAACAGGGUUAUUGUAAUGAUUAAACUACAUAAAGUGCCUUUGGAUGGAUGUGUACAAGUACUAUUUCUAUCCUCUCCGUAUUCCUGCUCAUUCACAUCUGAAAGGAG